rnacentral:rRNA from 1 species
GACGAACGCUGGCGGCGUGCCUAAUACAUGCAAGUAGAACGCACAGGAUGCACCGUAGUUUACUACACCGUAUUCUGUGAGUUGCGAACGGGUGAGUAACGCGUAGGUAACCUGCCUGGUAGCGGGGGAUAACUAUUGGAAACGAUAGCUAAUACCGCAUAAGAACAUUUACUGCAUGGUAGAUGUUUAAAAGGUGCAAAUGCAUCACUACCAGAUGGACCUGCGUUGUAUUAGCCAGUAGGUGAGGUAACGGCUCACCUAGGCGACGAUACAUAGCCGACCUGAGAGGGUGAUCGGCCACACUGGGACUGAGACACGGCCCAGACUCCUACGGGAGGCAGCAGUAGGGAAUCUUCGGCAAUGGGGGGAACCCUGGCCGAGCAACGCCGCGUGAGUGAAGAAGGUUUUCGGAUCGUAAAGCUCUGUUGUUAAGGAAGAACGAGUGUGAGAAUUGAAAGUUUCAUACUGUGACGGUACUUAACCAGAAAGGGACGG